UAAAGGCGGCUAUGUUAACACUGAUGUAUCCAGGAUUAAUUCUAAUAGACCAUGGUCAUUUCCAGUAUCCUUUAUUACAGCAUAUGAUAAAAACAUGAAUGUACCCUUCUUUGUAUUUCAGGUUUAUUUAAUGAGUAGGUUUCUGACAUGCUAGCUCAUUAGAAAACAAUUCACAUACAGACACAUCACUUAAGCUUGUCCUUCUUCUGCAAGAAUAAUCUUGGUGGAAUGGAACAAACAUUUGGAAAUCAAGUGUUUUCUUAUGUCUUGCUUGUAGUACUCAAUAUCCGCAGUAACCACAACCCUGCCUUCCAAUUUGAAUUUUGGGGUAAAAUAUUGUGGAUUAUACAUGAAAACAGUAUAUAGAGUUCACACAGAUUGUUUAUUGAAUGAACAUCCACAUAAAGUUUGACAUGAAAAGAUUCAAAUAUUCAUUUUUGCAGAUCAUCAAAUCUAAAUUAGUGUACUACCAUUAUGGAAUGAAAAGUAUAGCUAAAUAUUAUAAAACAAGAUCCUUAACUGUAAAACAGAUACAAUUGCAUAAGUUUAGGCUUAAUCUUAUUUGGAGUUCUGUUUUUGAGCCAAGGUCGUGACAUCCUAGGAUCUAUAGCAUUUUGUUUGGCCUUGAACUAUAAACAGAUGGAACUUUACCAUGCUCUCCCAUUCUUUUGUUUUUUACUUGGAAUUUGUUUCCGAAGUCAGAAUCAAAAUGG
rnacentral:lncRNA from 1 species